CUUCAAGAAGAAGGCAUCACACCCUACCAUCAACUCCCAAAGCUGAUAUUCUGUUUAAACUACUUCC
rnacentral:tRNA from 1 species